rnacentral:rRNA from 1 species
ACUCCUGCGGGAGGCAGCAGUGGGGAAUUUUGGACAAUGGGCGAAAGCCUGAUCCAGCCAUGCCGCGUGCAGGAUGAAGGCCUUCGGGUUGUAAACUGCUUUUGUACGGAACGAAACGGCCUUUUCUAAUAAAGAGGGCUAAUGACGGUACCGUAAGAAUAAGCACCGGCUAACUACGUGCCAGCAGCCGCGGUAAUACGUAGGGUGCAAGCGUUAAUCGGAAUUACUGGGCGUAAAGCGUGCGCAGGCGGUUAUGUAAGACAGUUGCGAAAUCCCCGGGCUCAACCUGGGAACUGCAUCUGUGACUGCAUAGCUAGAGUACGGUAGAGGGGGAUGGAAUUCCGCGUGUAGCAGUGAAAUGCGUAGAUAUGCGGAGGAACACCGAUGGCGAAGGCAAUCCCCUGGACCUGUACUGACGCUCAUGCACGAAAGCGUGGGGAGCAAACAGGAUUAGAUACCCUGGUAGUCC